AACCUCCGCAAUGUGAGAAAUCGCGACGGGGGGAUCCCAAGUGCCAUUCUUAACGGGAUGGCUUUUCAUUAGUGUAAAGAGCUUUUGGAAUAAGAGCUGGGCAAGACCGGUGCCAGCCGCCGCGGUAACACCGGCAGCUCUAGUGGUAGCAAUUUUUAUUGGGCCUAAAGCGUCCGUAGCCGGUUUAAUAAGUCUCUGGUGAAAUCCUGUAGCUUAACUGUGGGAAUUGCUGGAGAUACUAUUAGACUUGAGACCGGGAGAGGUUAGAGGUACUCCCAGGGUAGAGGUGAAAUUCUGUAAUCCUGGGAGGACCGCCUGUUGCGAAGGCGUCUAACUGGAACGGUUCUGACGGUGAGGGACGAAGUUAGGGGCGCGAACCGGAUUAGAUACCCGGGUAGUCCUAACUGUAAACGAUGCGGACUUGGUGUUGGGGUGGGUUUGAGCUGCUCCAGUGCCGAAGGGAAGCUGUUAAGUCCGCCGCCUGGGAAGUACGGUCGCAAGACUGAAACUUAAAGGAAUU
rnacentral:rRNA from 1 species